rnacentral:rRNA from 1 species
GAGCGGACAGAUGGGAGCUUGCUCCCUGAUGUUAGCGGCGGACGGGUGAGUAACACGUGGGUAACCUGCCUGUAAGACUGGGAUAACUCCGGGAAACCGGGGCUAAUACCGGAUGCUUGUUUGAACCGCAUGGUUCAAACAUAAAAGGUGGCUUCGGCUACCACUUACAGAUGGACCCGCGGCGCAUUAGCUAGUUGGUGAGGUAACGGCUCACCAAGGCAACGAUGCGUAGCCGACCUGAGAGGGUGAUCGGCCACACUGGGACUGAAACACGGCCCAAACUCCUACGGGAGGCAGCAGUAGGGAAUCUUCCGCAAUGGACGAAAGUCUGACGGAGCAACGCCGCGUGAGUGAUGAAGGUUUUCGGAUCGUAAAGCUCUGUUGUUAGGGAAGAACAAGUGCCGUUCAAAUAGGGCGGCACCUUGACGGUACCUAACCAGAAAGCCACGGCUAACUACGUGCCAGCAGCCGCGGUAAUACGUAGGUGGCAAGCGUUGUCCGGAAUUAUUGGGCGUAAAGGGCUCGCAGGCGGUUUCUUAAGUCUGAUGUGAAAGCCCCCGGCUCAACCGGGGAGGGUCAUUGGAAACUGGGGAACUUGAGUGCAGAAGAGGAGAGUGGAAUCCACGUGUAGCGGUGAAAUGCGUAGAGAUGUGGAGGAACACCAGUGGCGAAGGCGACUCUCUGGUCUGUAACUGACGCUGAGGAGCGAAAGCGUGGGGAGCGAACAGGAUUAGAUACCCUGGUAGUCCACGCCGUAAACGAUGAGUGCUAAGUGUUAGGGGGUUUCCGCCCCUUAGUGCUGCAGCUAACGCAUUAAGCACUCCGCCUGGGGAGUACGGUCGCAAGACUGAAACUCAAAGGAAUUGACGGGGGCCCGCACAAGCGGUGGAGCAUGUGGUUUAAUUCGAAGCAACGCGAAGAACCUUACCAGGUCUUGACAUCCUCUGACAAUCCUAGAGAUAGGACGUCC